rnacentral:lncRNA from 1 species
AGGCAGCGACGACAGGAGAGGUGGCAAUCUCUUUAGCGGCUUUGACGAGCGGUUGUUGGCUGAGGCCUUCAACGUGAACCCAGAUCUAAUCAGGAGACUGCAGAGGCCACAGAUACAGAGGGGCAUUAUCAUCAGAGUCGAGGAAGAGCUGAGAGUACUGUCUCCUCAAAGAGACAGAGAACAAGAACAGGAAGAAUGCGAAGAAACUCCGUCAUAUGAAAGGGACAAUGGCUUCGAGGAAACUAUCUGUACAAUGAAACUAAGGCACAACAUCGAUAAACCAUCACACGCUGAUGUCUACAACCCCCGGGCCGGACGUGUCACCACCGUCAACAGAUUCAACCUUCCUAUCCUUCGAGACCUCCAGCUUAGUGCUGAGAAAGGAAACCUUUACCCGGUGAGAAGAGGGCAAGAAAAAGGAAAAAAAAAAAAAACACACACACACACACACACAACAUCAAUGUCACAUUAUUUAUUUGAAGUACAAGUACAACAUUUGAUUGAUAGAUUAUUUUACACAUGCAUGUAGAAUGCCCUGUUGGCGCCACAGUGGAACUUGAAUGCCCACAGCAUAGUCUACGUAACAAGGGGCAACGGCAGGAUGCAAAUUGUAGCGGAGAACGGGGAGAAUGUGUUCGACGGUCAAAUCCGGGAGGGUCAGCUGAUCGUUGUUCCGCAGGGCUUCGCCGUGGUGAAGAGGGCAGGUAACCGUGGACUGGAGUGGAUAUCAUUCAAGACAAACGACGUCGCCAUGACAAGCCAGCUGGCCGGAAGGGCUUCGGUGUUAAGAGGGCUUCCGUUGGACGUUAUCCAGAACUCGUUCCAAGUGUCGAGGGAUGAAGCUCAGAGGUUGAAGUACAACAGGCAGGAGCUGACUGUGUUUACUCCAGGGCCUAGGUCACAGUGGGGCUUAACCGUAGCCUAAGAGAAAUUAUGUAAAUGGGUACGUAAUCAGGAAGUAAGCUAUGUAUUGUAGUGUAAGUAGUUGAGGUAGGGACGACUAUGUAUGAAUAAAAGCCUUAAUGGGCAUGAACGACAUGAAUGCUGCGGGACUGUAUGUAAGUUUAAGAUGCGAGUAAAAUAAAAAAAAAUAAUAUUUCUUUGCGCAAAUAAUUACAAAUAUUGUUGUCUUUAUAUCUCUAAUUUAGCUACACCCACACAUACUGAAUCCACA